GGCAGGCACAAUGCCUGGUGAGUCAGGGGUUUAUUGAAGAAACAAAAUGAGGAGACUGGGUUUGGUAAUGCUAGUUCUGCUGCUGCUGACAGCAGUGCAAGCUGAUGACACAAAGGUUCAGGGCUGAACCUGUGGCUACAGAGGGGCUUGCCGCAAGUACUGCUAUGCCCAGGAGUACAUGGUUGGUUACCAUGGCUGCCCACGCAGAUUAAGAUGCUGUGCUUUGCGUUUCUAACCUGGCAUGAUACAUGACUGCAGGAGAUCAACAUAAACAAUCUGGAGCCAAAUUCUGUGACCUUUUUUUUAUCAGAAUGCAUUUGGGAACUAGGAAUAUUAACCUAUACUAUAACUGCUAUGAGGAUCCCGUUUCAUAUCAAAAUAGUGCAUUAGUGCUUCCUAACAAGGGACUAGUCUCUGUUGAGGCAAGCACACAUUCAGUAUGAACAUGUAAUGCAUCUCUGCUUAGUAUUGGCUUUAAUUGGAUUAGAGAAGUCAUAACAGCUCUAGUUUUAUGCUUGUCACGCCAUGCCUGGCAUUGUGAAGUUCCAGGACAAUAACAAUUCACUUACCCAAAUUCUGUCUGUUAGCACUAUGCAUACCAUUAAAAUCAUUUUAAAGUUUGUUGUUCAUAGAUAUUACUGGUGUGAAGAAAAUGUUUGAAGCGUUUUCCUUGUGAACUCUUAUAUUUGUGACAAGACAUCUGAUUAAUUGUAUUCCAUUCAUUAUCUAACUGUAUUAGUUCAAAUACAAUAAAAUACUUUUUACUGUU